rnacentral:lncRNA from 1 species
CAUUAAGGGGGAAAUUCCAUAUGUUUUUUUCUUCCUUUUAAGCUUUUCUUUGAAUUUUGUUUAUAUUUGAGUCUCUUAUUCAAUUGUAUAUCUUUUAGGAUCGAGUUUUGAAUCCGUAUUUUAGCAUGCAUAAUUCAUAGUGUUUGCACUAUCCCGAUCUGAUUUAUAAGCAAAAAAGAUGAAUUUCACACUUAUUAAGAAUACUAUUCAAGUAUAUUUAAUUUUCUUGAUUUCAUAUAAAAGAGAUAAUACAAUUACUAAUAUACUCUUAAUUAAAUUGUCACCCACUAACACCAUUAAUAAUUAAUGUAGGGAUGAUUUUGAAAUAAAGACAUUAAAU